AUUGAACGCUGGCGGCAUGCCUUACACGUGCAAGUCGAACGGCAGCACGGGAGCUUGCUCCUGGUGGCGAGUGGCGAACGGGUGAGUAAUACAUCGGAACGUACCCAGGAGUGGGGGAUAACGUAGCGAAAGUUACGCUAAUACCGCAUAUUCUGUGAGCAGGAAAGCGGGGGAUCGCAAGACCUCGCGCGCUUGGAGCGGCCGAUGUCGGAUUAGCUAGUUGGUGAGGUAAAAGCUCACCAAGGCGACGAUCCGUAGCAGGUCUGAGAGGAUGAUCUGCCACACUGGGACUGAGACACGGCCCAGACUCCUACGGGAGGCAGCAGUGGGGAAUUUUGGACAAUGGGGGCAACCCUGAUCCAGCCAUGCCGCGUGAGUGAAGAAGGCCUUCGGGUUGUAAAGCUCUUUCGGCGGGGAAGAAAUGGCAACGGCUAAUAUCCGUUGUUGAUGACGGUACCCGCAUAAGAAGCACCGGCUAACUACGUGCCAGCAGCCGCCGCUGUAA
rnacentral:rRNA from 1 species